rnacentral:tRNA from 1 species
AGCGGGGUGGAGGAGAGGUACCUCGCAGGGCUCAUAACCCUGAGGCGCCCGUUCAAUUCGGGCCCCCGCAA